AUUUCAGAAAUAUCUUCUCUGUACUACACGUAUAGUACCAUAUCGAAAUCUCUGAUCUCUGAAUUUUACAGCUCAAUUGAAUUCAAUGACAUAGAGAUGAGUUUCUGUAAGAGUGUGAAUAAAGCAGAUUUCUUGACUCAGUUGUGUGAGGAAUCUAAGAGACUCUUUAGAAAUGAAACUGACGAUUUGAAUUAUAAACGAGAGUGGCUUCAGAUCAACAUAAACGCCCUGAUGGAAGCAGGAAAUCAAAACAGGAUGAACAACGCAGGCGCAGAACAGCAGUGUAGCACACAUUUAUCGGCACAUGUGCAUCACAGACAGACAGAGCCGCAGAAGUGAAGCCCUCCCUCCCUUUCCAGUUGUGUUUGACGUGGUUUGGAGGCAAGUGGUGAUGAACAAUAGACUAAGCUACUAGUGCCUUUGAAUUUACAGCUAAUUAUUUAAAAGACAAAUACUAGGUGCUUCUCAAACGGAAGGCUGCAUCCUAUGAAGGCUGCAUAUCUCGGCUACCACGUCAUCAAACGUCGCUGAAGGCCAUCUCAAUUGGAAGGUUCCUUGGAAGGCAGCCUUCGUUUCGUGUCCUUUAUUCAGCUGUAUUUGAAGGAUGCAUGGGAUGUAUCCUCUGCGACCUUCAAUCACCCACAAUACUUUGUACCCAUUCCAUUUCAUGAAAAUAAACUGACAAAAAAACGAGUCA
ensembl:lncRNA